GACGGAGGAUGCAAGCGUUAUCCGGAAUGAUUGGGCGUAAAGCGUCUGCAGGUGGCAGUUCAAGUCUGCUGUCAAAGACCGGGGCUUAACUUCGGAAAGGCAGUGGAAACUGAACAGCUAGAGUAUGGUAGGGGCAGAGGGAAUUCCUGGUGUAGCGGGUGAAAUGCGUAGAGAUCAGGAAGAACAUCGGUGGCGAAGGCGCUCUGCUGGACCAUAACUGACACUCAGGGACGAAAGCUAGGGGAGCAAACAGG
rnacentral:rRNA from 1 species